GUUGGAGCUUUCGACAUGGCCCUGCUGCUGCUGGUGGGGUUACUGCACAUUCGGAAACAUAAGGAAACCACCACAGAUAUCCCGACUUCUGCUUCCUCCUUCCAGUCUUUCUCAUCUAUAUACACAGUGGCAACUUAUACUGUCACCAAAACCCAGGAGGGAGAAAGCUUCCUGAGAGCAAAGACAGCUGACUGAAGGAAGGAGAAGUGUGUCUUUUUCUUCUUUCAACAAGAAAAUAUCCAUCCAAGAGCAUGAUAAGAAAUAUGUCAAGAAGCAGCUGUAGAUAUUGCAGUUAUUGCUGAUUGUUAACGGUUAACGUGUGACUUGUAUUAAAGUAGAUAUUCCCGGAACAGAA